GCCACCGCCCAUCAUCGCCUCAUCGUCGCUCGCCAUUGCCCCGCCGCCGCUCGCCACCACCCAUCAUCGCCUUGUCGCCACGAUCAGUCUCGCGGAUCAGCUGGACUAAAACCCUAAAAGCAGCACUCGUCUGCUCGUCGCGAACGGCUCGCGGAACCAUCGUCGGAGGACAGAGCCGCUUGGUUCAGUUUGCUCCAACCAUUGAAAUGAUCGAUGACCAACAUCUGUAGUGUGGCUGUGACAGCGUGAACAUGUGCUUCAGUCUUCUGCUCUACUUCAUAAUGAAGCAUGGCGUUACAUCGAGGGGGAACUUGCAAUGAAUUGUCUCUCUAAUCAAGUUUACGAAUUUGUUAUGCUCUCGAAACCUUACCAGUUCAAGAUCAGUCCUAUGCCCUGCAAAUAGAAGCAUGUGGUUAAACCCCUGGUUCUCUUUUUCUUUUUGUAAAAGAAUGACUGGCUAUAGGAUAGGAUUUGACAGAUCGAGUCGGUAAUGGUUGAGGAAAGCGCUGUGUGACAUCUUAGAAGCUCCUGAAGAAAUUUUCUGGUGGAAGUCAUGUAUAUUUGCAUUAGACAGUUUGCCCUAGAUUUGAUGCACCAGUUGAAACAUAUGC